rnacentral:rRNA from 1 species
CCUACGGGUGGCAGCAGUGAGGAAUAUUGGUCAAUGGCCGGAAGGCUGAACCAGCCAAGCCGCGUGAAGGACGAAGGUGCCAAGCAUUGUAAACUUCUUUUGUCAAGGGACAAAAGCAGGCUCGAGAGCCUGACCGAGGGUACUUGAAGAAAAAGCAUCGGCUAACUCCGUGCCAGCAGACGCGGUAAGACGGUGGAUGCGAGCGUUAUCCGGAUUAUGGGGUUUAAAGGGUGCGUAGGCGGACUGUUAAGUCAGCGGUAAAAGCCCGGGGCUUAAUCCCGGCGAGCCGUUGAAACUGGCUGUCUGGAGAUGUCGAGAGGUAUGCGGAAUGCGCAGUGUAGCGGUGAAAUGCUUAGAUAUUGCGCAGAACGCCGAUUGCGAAGGCAGCAUACCGGCGGCGAUCUGACUCUGAGGCACGAAAGCGUGGGUAUCGAACAGGAUUAGAUACCCUAGUAGUC